UGUUGAUCACUUCGGCUCGCUAUGAUGGCUCGGACACUUUACGGGUUGGUAAUGGUGAAGGAUCUCAUGACCAAGAAGGUGGUUUUUAAGGGGGGUACCUCGGGAGGUUUAUAUUAAUGGCCCACGCCUUCUUUGAGUCUGUCUGCUUAUAUUGCUGCGCGUGCAUCGUCUUCUACUUGGCACAAGCGGCUUGGUUAUCCACACACACGGGUUCUGCGUCAGAUUUUGCAGUUGUCCGGUGUUGGUUUUGUUAAUUCUAGUGAAUUGUCGCGUUUAUGUUCUUCGUGUCAGUUAGGGAAAUCUUCCCGCUUUUCUUUACCUCGUGUCGAAACAAAAAGUAUUCAUGUGUUAGAGCUUAUAUAUACUGAUAUUUGGGGCCCCGCGCCUGUGUACUC